GACGAACGCUGGCGGCGUGCUUAACACAUGCAAGUCGAACGGAAAGGCCCAGCUUGCUGGGUACUCGAGUGGCGAACGGGUGAGUAACACGUGGGUGAUCUGCCCUGCACUCUGGGAUAAGCCUGGGAAACUGGGUCUAAUACCGGAUAUGACCGACUGUCGCAUGGUGGUUGGUGGAAAGCUUUUGCGGUGUGGGAUGGGCCCGCGGCCUAUCAGCUUGUUGGUGGGGUAAUGGCCUACCAAGGCGACGACGGGUAGCCGACCUGAGAGGGUGAUCGGCCACUCUGGGACUGAGACACGGCCCAGACUCCUACGGGAGGCAGCAGUGGGGAAUAUUGCACAAUGGGCGCAAGCCUGAUGCAGCGACGCCGCGUGAGGGAUGACGGCCUUCGGGUUGUAAACCUCUUUCACCAGGGACGAAGCGUGAGUGACGGUACCUGGAGAAGAAGCACCGGCCAACUACGUG
rnacentral:rRNA from 1 species